rnacentral:lncRNA from 1 species
GCGCAGGCAGCCCCACCCGGUCCCAUGCGCGGGGCAGAGGAGGAAGAACAAUAAUCCGGAGGUCUCAAGUGGAGGUGGAUAUGAACGGACGAGUUUCUCGGAGCACCCCAGUCUCAGCCGAGCAACUGGGUCCUGUGAAACCUACAAGCUCAAAGCAUCUGCUGGGCGAACAACUCCCUCUAGCCUAGACAAGAGCAGCCACCACAGAGCCAUACAGUGCUUCUAACCACAUCUGCAUUACCUCUUCUGCCCUAAGUUC